UGGGGAAUAUUGCACAAUGGGCGCAAGCCUGAUGCAGCCAUGCCGCGUGUAUGAAGAAGGCCUUCGGGUUGUAAAGUACUUUCAGUCGGGAGGAAGGUGGUAAGGUUAAUAACCUUAUCAAUUGACGUUACCGACAGAAGAAGCACCGGCUAACUCCGUGCCAGCAGCCGCGGUAAUACGGAGGGUGCAAGCGUUAAUCGGAAUUACUGGGCGUAAAGCGCACGCAGGCGGUUGAUUGAGUCAGAUGUGAAAUCCCCGGGCUUAACCCGGGAAUUGCAUCUGAUACUGGUCAGCUAGAGUCUUGUAGAGGGGGGUAGAAUUCCAGGUGUAGCGGUGAAAUGCGUAGAGAUCUGGAGGAAUACCGGUGGCGAAGGCGGCCCCCUGGACAAAGACUGACGCUCAGGUGCGAAAGCGUGGGGAGCAAACAGG
rnacentral:rRNA from 1 species